rnacentral:rRNA from 1 species
UACGGGGGGAGGCAAGCGUUGUUCGGAUUUACUGGGCGUAAAGGGCGCGUAGGCGGCCACUGCAAGUCGGUUGUGAAAUCUCCGGGCUUAACCCGGAAAGGUCAAUCGAUACUGCGGGGCUAGAGUGCAGAAGGGGCAACUGGAAUUCUCGGUGUAGCGGUAAAAUGCGUAGAUAUCGAGAGGAACACCUGCGGCGAAGGCGGGUUGCUGGGCUGACACUGACGCUGACAGCGCGAAAGCUAGGGGAGCGAACAGG